AAGAGACAGCAGUAGCCGCGGUAAUACGUAGGGUGCAAGCGUUAAUCGGAAUUACUGGGCGUAAAGCGCACGUAGGCGGCUAUGUAAGUUAGAGGUGAAAGCCUGGAGCUCAACUCCAGAAUUGCCUUUAAGACUGCGUGGCUAGCAGGUGAGAGAGGUGAGUGGAAUUCCGAGUGUAGAGGUGAAAUUCGUAGAUAUUCGGAAGAACACCAGUGGCGAAGGCGGCUCACUGGCUCAUACUGGACGCUGAGGUGCGAAAGCGUGGGGAGCAAACAGGAUUAGAUACCCCAGUAGUCCCUGUCUCUUAUAC
rnacentral:rRNA from 1 species